GCUUUUCAUCCGUGUUGGCAGUCUCGACUGCGAGGAAAAGCUCGGCAGUUUCCUGCGAAGUCGGCCCACGACGAGCAAUCCAUCCCACUAAGAAGCACGCCGACUUAGAGACCCGGUGAUCACUCGGAAAUAAAGCUACCACUCAACCAUGUGAAGUGAAGUGUACCAAGAUGUAGAAAACAAAAUAGUGUGUUUUGCCGUUCUUUUGAGAAUAUAAGUAAACCGUACGUAGGUCCUUAUACUAACCUGACUAUAUAUUUCUGUGCAAUGGUGCAGGAAAGCCAACAUGAAGUUCAUGGUCUUCCCCUUCUUGUUCGUCGCCGUCUUUCUCGCAGGGAUGCCUGCUUCCUACGGGGAACCCAUCGAAGAACCUAUCUAUGCGACACCGAGAGAACCGCCUGUCCGUGUUACAAGCCGUUCUGGUAUGUACCUGGAGCACCUAACCUUACCUACGCAGGCUACGUAAUUUCGACUGAAUUCGUCGAAACGUAGCGUCAU